rnacentral:rRNA from 1 species
UGGGGAAUUUUGGAUAAUGGGCGAAAGCCUGAUCCAGCAAUGCCGCGUGUGUGAAGAAGGCCUUCGGGUUGUAAAGCACUUUUGUCCGGAAAGAAAUCCUUGGCUCUAAUACAGUCGGGGGAUGACGGUACCGGAAGAAUAAGCACCGGCUAACUACGUGCCAGCAGCCGCGGUAAUACGUAGGGUGCAAGCGUUAAUCGGAAUUACUGGGCGUAAAGCGUGCGCAGGCGGUUUGCUAAGACCGAUGUGAAAUCCCCGGGCUCAACCUGGGAACUGCAUUGGUGACUGGCAGGCUAGAGUAUGGCAGAGGGGGGUAGAAUUCCACGUGUAGCAGUGAAAUGCGUAGAGAUGUGGAGGAAUACCGAUGGCGAAGGCAGCCCCCUGGGCCAAUACUGACGCUCAUGCACGAAAGCGUGGGGAGCAAACAGGAUUAGAUACCCUGGUAGUCCACGCCCUAAAACGAUGUCAACUAGUUGUUGGGGAUUCAUUUCCUUAGUAACGUAGCUAACGCGUGAAGUUGACCGCCUGGGGAGUACGGUCGCAAGAUUAAAACUCAAAUGAAUUGACGGGGUCAUAGCUGUUUCC